rnacentral:lncRNA from 1 species
CCAAUACAUAAACCAGACAGAAUAUAUAAAGAAUUAUCGUCCUAUUUCGUUGUUUAAUAUAGACAUCAAAAUAUGCUCAAGCAUUUUAGCAAACAGUUUGCAAACCAUUUUACCGAACCAUGCUUUUGGCAAAAAAUCUAUCUAAAGAUGUGCAAGCAAGGAUUAAAGCAAAUUAUGACUUUGAAUGGGUAGAAGGCAUCCAAUAUUUGGGAAUAAAAAUCUCUAGGGAUCCAAAUAAAAUUGUAGAGAAUAAUAUCUUGCCCUUAAUUAAACAAAUAAAUAAAGAACUAAAAGAUUUAAGAAACACAGAGAUUUCAUGGACAGGCAGGAUAAAUUUAAUAAAAUCCUAUAUAAUCCUGAAAUGGAGCAACAUAUUCCGCAUGCUUCCUCUAAAGGUCCCAAAACCAUGGCUUACAAUGAUCCAGUCUGCUUUAGAUAAAUAUAUCUGGUUAAAAAAAAAAAAAAACCUAGAGUCAAUAGAAAGAUAUUAAAUUUAAAUUCUAAAAAUGGAGGAAUGGGUUUGCCUAACAUGCUAGAGUUGUAUGAGACAUGCGCAUUGGCUCAUAUAGUUCCAUCUUUGAAAGAGAGUUCUAUGGAGGAAUCUUGGGCCAAAAUAGAAGCGAUAAGAAUGAAUGUCCCAGAUUUAUUAUCCAUAUUUUGGAAAAUGAACAAUAAGGAUAAUCUCUACACAGGUUUAAUCACUAAUAAUCUAAUGUCACAUUGGAAAAACUGGAAAAAGAGACUCAAGAUUGUAGACAUAAUUAUUAAAGACUUGCCAUUAAAUAUUCUGACAGCUAAUAUUGAAGACUUAAGUAUUAGAAUUUGGAAGGCUAAUGGUAUUCAUAGAAUCGAUCAGAUUAUGCAACAAAAUCAGAUUGUUCCUUUUGAACAAAUUAGACAAACUUUUUCCCUCCCAUAUAAAGAAAACUUUACAUACUUAAGGAUAAAACAUUUUAUAAACAAACACAAAGUAGAAGAAACUUCAGGUUUACAAUCUUUCUUAAAUAUACUAAAUAUUAAGAGUAAUAAAAAAUUGGUAUCAAGGUGUGCAAACCUGUGCGAUCUAUUUAAAAUCAUCCCAGUCUUUCCAGCUCUUAAGUCCUGCCGCAAUGGCCAGGGACCCAGGCUGACAGGGGAGAUCAGUGUAUAUGUAGAAAAAACAACGAGGGAACCGGCUGAUAAUCUCUACAAAAGUAAAUAGAGAAAAUAUAGUGUAAUACAGUUUACAGUAUAGACAUUGCGCAAAUUGAAAUGCACUCACUGGAUUUUGGACAAAUUGAAGCUUGUAAGGUGCCUUCCCCGAUAGUAGGGGGGGCUAGGGAAAUCCCCUGGAUAUUUUCACUCCAACACAGGACUCCGGGUGAAGUUUGAAAAAUUGGCUUUAAUUCAAUAUUAAAAUAUGUUUAAAAAAGAAUAAAAUAAAUAUAAAUAAGGUCCUACGCGUUUCGUCCCUUUAACAAAAUAGGGACUUCCUCAGGGACCACAAUAUUAAGAAACAAUUUGAUACAGUACAAUCAAAAAACAGCCUAACAAAUCCCCACCCGAAAAGUCCUUUAAAUAGGGCUAAUCCCUCAUCUAAAUUCAGUCACAUGUUAUCCUCAGACUCUCCUCAUUGGUCCUCCAUUAAUAGGGUUCAUCUGUUGCCAUCGCGGCUCCAGUGUUCACAGCUGAUUUCGGAAUUGUUCAAUAAUCCUCCGACAGCUGCCGGCACGGAAGUGCCGUGCGUUCCAACUGCGUUCACUAAACCGGAAGUGGCAACGCUAAUAUGCCGAUCUCGCGAGAGUGAAAUCAGUGUAUAGUAGACAAACUAUCUCCCCACAGGCACUGAGAUGCGGCAGGGGAGGCAGGGAGAGAGGACCCGGUGGAGCUCUAUCCUGCAGCUCCGCCGGGUUCCUCUCAUGAGGUCUGAGCGUUGCCAUGGUUACUAUGGCAACGCUCCGAUCUCGCGAGAGUGAACUCUACCCCAGGAACUACAGGGUAGAGUUCACUCCACACUGGAACACCAGGGAUUUCCCCCUGGACCACAUGGGGUACAAGCCCCCCUCUCCAAGGCAAAGGUAGGAAGGGAGGGAUAUAAAUAUUAUAAUAAUUUUAAAUUUAAAAAAAAAAAACAAAACCCACAUACAAAUUUUUUAGUUUUACCCCACAUCAGACCAGUGGCGUCACUAGGGGGCGGCCAGAGGGGGCCAUGGCCCCCCCUAGAUCAGGCUGUGCCCCCCCAAAUGAAAGCUACUGCUCCCUGGUCUUUAUUAUGUUCCCUCAGACUGUAACAGCCUGUUACAGUCUGAGGGAAUUCAGGACAGAGGGGCUCACUGCUGGAGAGAGGUGCUGGGGGACUGUGGAUAGCUGCUGAGGGCUGGAGCAGCUGCAUUGAGGCUGCUGGGGGCGGGAGGGAGCACUGACAGUCUCCCUUCCGAAUUCCCAGCAGCUUCCCCUGCACACAGGCUCCAGCUUUACCUGCUUGUGCAGGCUCCGCCCCCGCGACGAUAGCUCCACCCACACAUCCGCCUCCAGCCCAAGCUCCGCCCCCCCCCCCAGUAAAGCAGCAGACCUUGCUGCAGUCUGAAG